UUUAGUAAAGUGAAUUAGUGAAAGAGAUUUACAUUAUUUAUUUUUCUUGAUCUGAGAGGAUAUUAGAGUGAUUUAUAGUAAAUUUUUUAUUUAUUUUUAUAUUUUCGAGUUAUUCCAUGUAAUCUAAAAUUUGGUUUUUUUUUAUUAAAUCAGUUUUUGGAUUGGAUUUAAUAAAUAUAUUUGUAUUUAGAGAAGGGUGUUUCCAGUUUUUUAUUUUUUUAUUUCUGUUCAUGGAAACGUGGAUCAAUAUCUGCCAAGUUUAUUUUCGCUCUUGUCCUCUCCUUGUUUUCACCAGAGAGAGCGCGCUCAGAGAGUACAAAUCUGCAGAGAAUAUAAAAGAAAUCACAGAACAGACAGACGAUAUGGCCCAUAUGGGAGAGGAGUGAGGCGCUUCUGAGGUAGGGACUGGCUUAGCGAGAGAUGGUUUUGUCAGCGAUGAUUUGAAGAGCUAAGCCUUUAUUUUUCACUCUCUGCUUAUGUUCUCUCCAUUUUUUUUUUUUACUAUGAGUUUCUUUUAUCUAAAAAACCCCAAUUACUAUGAUUUCUUUGUGAUUUUCUCUUCUGUUUUGAUUUCUUUCGAGGUUUUAGAUAAAUGGGUUAGCCGAGGUUUACUUAAAAAAUAACUGGACUGUUCAGGACAAGGGCCUGAUAUUUGGUCUGUGGUUUUUCUAGGGGCUUCCAAUCUUGAUAGAUUGGGAAUUUUGUCAUGUAUGCUCUGUAUUCGUGUGGCUGCAACUAUGUUUUUUUUUUUUUAUCAGGAUACAUGGUUUUGGUUGAUUUUUCAUUUAUUUAGAGAGGGUUGCGUUGAUGUUGUUUGGUUUUGGCUGUUCUAGGGUUGUGUAUGUGAUGGGACUGGGUUUGUGUUUUGUGGAGUGAUGUACUUAGCUAUCCCGAAAAAAAAAAAUAGACAUUUUGUUCCUUUAGAAGAAAAUUCAAUUUUAUAUAGUUGAGAUUACUUUUGUGGUUGAUAUUGAUGUUUAUGAGUUAAAUAAUAUUUUAAAAACCAACAAACAUACAUAAAUAAGUGAAGAUAAUGAUAAUAAUGACAUCAACAUAGAAGAUUGUGAUGGAUAUGACAAUGAUGAAAUUAAAGAAGAAAAUAAUUUUGAUCAGUUUGCACAACACGAAUGUGUAAUUCUAUAAACUAUAAUGUAAUAUUUCUAGAUGAAAUUAACUUUAAUGCAAUGACAAUAUUUAUUAUUAAAUCAUAAUGAAACAUUUAUUUUAUGUGAUUUUAUUAUUAUACAAAAAUGUGAUGUUAUUGUGUUGGGUGCUGUUGUGAUUUUAAAUACUUGUAGGAUGGAUAUAUAAGGAAUAUGAUUACAAUAUGGCAGCAUAAAUUGUUUUUUUAUCAAUAGAAAUGCCAACAACCCUAGAAAACACUAAUAGACACAUUGAUGAAUUAAGGUCACCAGUAUAUUCUUGAGAGUAUUGGUGCUUUUCACCUCUCAAUUGCAUUGUUCAUUGUGUUCAAUGUAUACGAGGUCACCGAUAACAAAUAUUUGUCGGUAUUUUUUCAAGAGCUAAGGUACAAUUCACUUAACACUUGCACUUUUUAUUAUUAUUCAGUGCAUACAGGAUCUUAGAUGGUUAAUGUAUGUUGGUAUUUUUCUGAGAGUUAAGGUACUGUUCACUUUUCACUUGCAUUGUUUAUUAUUGUUCUUUGCAGAUAAAAUCACUGAGAUACUGAAAAGUAGUCGGUGAUAGUUGGUGGGUUUCUGAAAAUUUUAGAUUAAAUUGAAAAUUUUAAUUAGACUUGACAGACAUAAUUGCCAGCAGAAGAAUUAAAAUAUUAAUUUUUAAUUUACCAUCAGUACAGGCAUCAGUGAUAGUUGGUGGGUUUAUGAAAUUUUAUAGAUUAAAUCAAAAUUUUCAAUUAGACUUUACAGACGAUUACAAACAAAUACACCGACAGAAAAAUUAAAAAUAUUAAUAUUUAAUUUACUGUUGGUAAAGGCAUCAGUGAUAUGUGGUGGGUUUCUAAAAGUUUUGGAUUAAAUUGAAAAUUUCAAUUAGACUUGAUAGAUGGAAACACUAAUGGUACAAUUAAAAUAUUAAUUUUUAAUUUUAUGACACUAAAGACAUCAAUAAUACUUAGCGUGUUUCUGAAAAAAAUUUAUUAAAUUGAAAACUACAAUUAGACUUGACAAGUAGAAAUGUCGAUGAAACAACUAAUAUAUUAAUGUUUAAUUUUCUAAUAGUAAAGACGUCAGUAAUACUUAGCGUGUUUCUAUAAUUUUUUUAUUAAAUUAAAAAUUCCAAUUAGACUUAUAGAGAAAACCACAGAUUAAAAAAUUAAAAAAAUUAAUAUUUAAUUGACCAUUGGCAAAAUUAUCGGUAAAAAAACUCUAAAUUAAAGACAGAAUCUCUAAAAUCAGAAUAGACAGACACAUCUCUUCUUUUUUCUUCCUUUGUAGCUUUUCUCUUCUCCUCCCAAAUCUUCAUCUUUCUUUCUCUUCUCUCUCUCCUUCUCUCCUCAACCCAUUCUCUUUUCUUCUCUUCCACACAUAAGUAUGUCUCCUCCUCUUUUCUCCCUAUCCUUUUCUCUUAUUAUUUAAUGAUUUGUUUAGAUUUUUCUUCUUUUCUCGGGCUUAUGAAAACUCAAAAUUAAGACACUUGAGACACAAGAAACCACACUCGACGCGGGCUCAUCGAGUGCGAUCCUACCACGUUGAGGGGGGUCUCUACACAGUAAGAUCUAUUUACCUGGAAGCACCAAGCUCAAUGGAAGAACGACCUUUUAAUGUUGCAUGCUUUUUAGUACAAGGCGCAAAAGAAAGCCAAGAAAUAUGUGAAAGAAAGAGAGCUUCCAGACUGAAAGGAGAUGGCGGUUUUGGAAGGAUUUCAGACCAUUGUACGUCUCAGAGGCCGUGUGGAUGGAAUAUAUUCAACACCUGACAUCCGAUUGUUUUGUGCAACAAUUACACUUCGGUGCAAAUAACUGGAACCAACAUGUUCACAGUUUCGUUACCACGCAUACCAACAACUCCAUCCUAUUCAAUUUGCAUGUGAAACGAAUGAUAAGAUUGUUUUUUUAAUUACAUUUUUUUUAUCUUCUUAUAAAUAUGUUUAACUAACAACAAUUUUCUAUUAUAGGCUACGGUUUUUGGAUGCGAAUCAAGCUUGAUGAAGCUUUAUAAGGAAACACAUGCUCAACACUUUGUGUGUUUCAAUCGUUGGAUGCUUACAAUCAGUUCCGAGUACUCAGACUUCGAAGUUCGAGGUGAUUUUAGACCAGCAAGUUCAAACUUGGAUGACCCAUCUUGCUGCUGAUUAUGAAUGACUCAUUGCUGAAACGGCUGAACUCCAUCGAUUGGUAAUGAAGAUGAGAUCACAUAUGGGUAGUACAUGUGUUCCAUCUUAUUCACCCUAAGGUCUAGGAUACAUAUAACACUUGGUUGAAGGAGAGAUAUGGUGACGAUCCUUCAACCCAUCCGGAUCUCAAUCUGAAUUUAUAGUUGGAGGCAGAAUUGUCUGGUGAACCCGAUAAAAAUAGAAUGUAUUGUCUCUCUAGCACUACAACCGAGGAUUUGCGAAUGAUCUGCAGUGUUUCAAUCGUUGGAUGCUUGCAAUCAGUUGCAAGUACUCAGACUUCGGAGUUCAAGGCGAUUUUAAACCAGCAAGUUCAAGCUUGGAUGACCCAUCUUGCUGCUGAUUAUAAACGACUCAAUGGUGAGACAGGUGAACUUCGUCGAUUGGUAAUGGAGAUGCGAUCACAUAUGGGUGGUACAUGUGUUCCCUCUUAUUCACCCCACGGUUCAGACGAAGACCCGCCUCCUCCUUGUCCUACAAUGCCUUUAUUCUAAAUUAAUUGUAUUUGAACUUAUAAAUGCUUAAAUUUGUAAUAAAUAUUUGAAUUUUAUAUUAA